rnacentral:lncRNA from 1 species
CAGGAUUAAUCUUGUCUUGGUAGAUAGUGAUUUGACAAGAACGGAACCAAAAGUAGAUACGUACAAGCAAGAAGCAAGCGACACGGACGGACCGACCCAUAAUACUUGCCGAUUCAGUGGGGUAGGGCCCCUCAUCCCUCAAUUACCAAUCACAAUCUUACACAUCAGUUUUAACGUAAAAUCUUUACGUAAGCCUUAAGCCUUUACAGGUGUAGGCCGAUCCAUCCAUCCUUUUACAGUACCGCACACGCGUACACAAUCAAAGACAAGCAGUUGAGUUGAAGCAUACGACGUUCCACCAGACCAGCUCCAGGUUGAUGAAGACGCAGCAGGCGGCAACAUGUCAGGAGGUUGGCAGUUUAAAACAGUCGCAACCUCCCGAGAUGCCAUCAGCUGAGGCUUGACCACCACCAGCAGCAGCAGGAAGAAGAUGGCCGAGACCCAGCUGAAGACGCAGAAACUAGGGAUGGGAUUGGGAUGGACCAGUUGCUUGUUCAAAUAGAAGGCAACCGAAUCCGUCCACGGCCGACGCGACGGGGAACUAACUCCAGAUCUAGCUCUAGGGAUUGCAGGUAGAUUAUUUAGCUCCGUCCUCUGCCGCGCGCACUAAAACGAGCGCAGAGUAAGCAGCAGAGGACCCUUAACAUCGACCGAGCGGCAACAACUCCGGUUCACUUGGCGUCGGCCGAGAUACCGCCGGCGCCGUUCUUGUCGGCGCGGACGAGCCCCGCGGCCAUGUUGGCGACCGCGGCGACCAUGUCCUUGACGAUCUUCUCCUUCACCUGGCCACGCCGUGGAGGCGGCGCGGCCCCCCUCGGCGCCCUGCUGCCGCCGCCGCCGGCGCGGGCAUCGCCGGAGCUUGAGCCUGGUAGCCCUUGGUGGCCAUUCUUCCGGCGAGGGGAGAAGAGGAGGGCAGUGCUGGCUUGGCUUGGACGGCAAGAGAGUACUAGCGCUGCUGGUGUUGUGGGUGAUGCUAGCAGAACAUUGGAGAUGGUGUGGAUGGGGAGGCCAAUCCGCACCACGGGAAAAGGCGCGUCCACGUCUGGCCAGCUACGUACCUAAGCAUAUCGAUUUUGUCCGUUUUACGUUUGGGGUCGAUGUCCACACUACGGACACGUACAACCGGUUGAUGUAUUGUGGAACGCAGAAGAAACAAGGCAUACAUGCCAGGUCGGCGCGCGGCGGCGUUGGAGAACGAUCUGGGGCGACACGUGCCGGACGAGUCUCGAGGCGGGAGGAGGUGCGACGACGCGUGCGAGACGAGUCCAGAAGGAAGGAAAAAGUCCAUUUUAAACCGUAAACUCGUAGUGGUUGACGAAAUGAACCCCAAACUCAAAAUCCCUAUCGAUUGCAUCCUAAACUAUGCAAUCCCCGGUCUAAAUCGAACCCUGGAACUGUUUGUCAAACCGGGAUUGCAAAGGAUGGUCGGGAUUGUUUUAUUUCAGAGGUGAGGGUGAGAUAUCUGAGGCGUCGGAGGAGCAGAUACCGGUGUGUGUUUUUCCGUCGUGCGUCCAUGCAUGCAGGGCUCGAUGACGGCACUGAGAUACACCACCCGCGCGACCAAGAUCGUCGGGAGCACGAGCAAGAGCGGGAGCGCGAGCACGGGCACGACAGGAGAAGCGAGGAGCGUGAGCGCGGCAGGAGGAGCGAGGAGCGCGAGCAGGAGCAGGGAGGACAGGAGGAGGAGCAGGGCCACGGCGGCGAGCAGGAGAAAUCGAGGGGCUACAGGCAGGUGAGCGCCGAGAUCAAGGUGGGCUCUGUGAUCGUGCUCCCGGCUGGUCACCCGGCGACGUUCGUGUCUGGGAACGAGGGGAACCUCGCCCUGCUGUCCUUCGGCGUGGGCGCCAACAACGACGAGGAGGUGUUCGUGACCGGCGGGAACAACGCGCUGAAGCAGCUGGACGAGGCGGCCAAGGCGCUGGCAUUCCCCCAGCAGGUGAGGGAGCUGGCGGACAAGGUCAUCCGCGCGCAGACGGAGGCCGUGUUCCACGACGGCCCGCAGCAGCAGCGCCGCGUCGUCUUCGACAUGUGAGCAGCGACGAUCUCAACUCGAGUGUGCGCAUGCAUGCAAUUCGUGGAGCUGCUUGCAUGCAUGAGUGAUGAGUGUAAAUGUGGGGCGGGAAUAAAAAGCUAGUAGUACGUACGCGCGGCACCGUUUGAGUCAAGAUGGACACCGUACGGAUAACUUGUCUGGUUGAAUGCUUCCGUUGGGUCAAAUUGUGUAUCUGAAUGAUCCAAACGGACAAAAUAUGGUCAUGCGUUAAAGUUGCCCUUGCGUACACAACACUAGUACUCCCUCCGAACCCUUUUAGUUUGCCCAUAACUUUUUCUCACCUUGCCGCCUCUUUAGUGAUGUGUGAGUAGUUUUAUGAGGACCUACAGGUCUAUAACAUAGUUUUAAAUAGCUCCGCUAUAGCCUUUAUAGCAGGAUGCCGCUAAAUGAUAUCAUGUACAAACAAGACGUUAUAGCCCGCUAUAGCUGAUUUGCAGGUCCGCCGCUAUUUGCCAUAGCCCGCUAUUUAAAACAUUGGUCUAUAGCAGUACCUAAAUGGAUCUCUUUGUCUCUCGUUUUAUCUUCAAUACAAUAAUCUUUUCGCAGGCCUAUCCAAUGUAAUAUUUGUGGUGUGUUUAUUCGGAUCCAAUGAAUUAUGAGUUUAUUUUGAAAUUUAUCAUUAAAAGUAAUUGAUCUAAUCUGUGAUUUAUUAUGUGUGAUUUAAUAUAGGUAUGUAUGCUUUCCGAUCUAUAAGUUUGUUUUGGCCAAGUAGAUGAGUAGAUCUUCAAAGGAAAUGGUGCAUAGUAGUAGGUUCAAUCUCGUGUUGUCCUCACUAUAUAACAGGAGAAGUAGGGAGUCACGUAUUUGGAUUGUUGCUGCUAAAGGUUAAACAAUCAGGUCUAAACAUAUUAUUUGGUCUUACUUUGUCUAUAUUAUAUCAUCUUGCUCCAAGUAUUACUCUGUUUGUUAUGAACUUAAUACUAGCCAUCAGCAAGUUUAACUUUCUACUUAUCAUAGAUGUAAUGGAUGUAUAUUGAUCAUGUCAUGAAUAACGAUAUACUUAUUCAUUUUUCUAUCAAUUGUUCAACAUUAAUUUAUGCAACCACCGCUACUAUGCUCAUGAGAGAGAUGCCUCUAAUGAACGCUAUGACCCCUGGAUCCAUUCACCUAUUUUAUAUUCUAAAAAAUAUAAAAAUAAUUGAUACAUUUUAUUAUAUUUUUAUUUAUGAUUAUCUAUAUUGCACUAUCAGAUUUGAUCCUUGCAAUUCGCGAGUACAAUGGGCUUGACAACCCUCUUAUCCGUGUUAGGUGCAAGUAUUUGCUUUUGUGUGCAAGUAUUGUUAAUAGUUUUUUGCGUGCUUUUCUAUCGAUUCAAUAAACAUUGGUUCUUAUAUAAGGAAACUACUUAUUGAUACUUUACCACAUCACACUUUCUCUUCGGGAAAAAGCCCAAUGCCAUCACAAGUAGCAUUGAUUUUCAGGACGCCCAACUUCUCUGGAUCCUCCACCGCAACCAUCUAUGACAACUUUUCAUACGGGUCCAUGUGACAGUGGCAUGAUUGUGGAUCCCGGGCGCGUCCUAGGGCAUGGCCUGGACCGACAUGAUAGUAGUGACCGUUGAUGGGUGGAGGAUUGAGGGAGAGGAGUGGGCUGGUGACGUGACAUCCUAGGGUUAAGUCGUGAAUGGGAGGGACAGGUCGUCGCGUGGGGUGAGGUGAAAGAGAUGCGCAAGGGUUCUGUUUGAGAGGGGAGAGGAAAAAGAUCGAACAAACAAAAAGCCGAAGCAGGAGGUGGGAAGGCAUUGGAUGAAGUCACACGACCCAAUAAGGAAAGGGAAAUUAAGUUCUUUUUAGGUAGUGGAAAUAGAGAUGUUUUGAUGUAUGCUUUUUUCAUAGAGAUUGUACAUUUUUGUAUACAAUAGGAACAUUUCUUAUACUUGUUUUACAUUUUCAAGUACACAUAUACUUCCUUUGUUCCUAAGUAUGAGUCUUUUAAGAAGUUUCGCUAGAAGGCUACCUAAAGAUGCAUAUAGAUAUACUUUAGAGUAUAGAUUUAUUCAUUUUGCUUCGUAUGUAGUCCCCUAGUGAAAUUAAAAAAAACUUAUAUUUAGAAACGGAGGGAGUAUAUGUUUUAUGUCUACUCUUUUUUCAUAGUCUCUCUACAUUUUUGGUACACAUAAGAUUUUUUUAUUGUACACGUUCAACACUUUCAUGAUUAACUUUUCUUAUACACUUCGUAUAUUUUUUAAAUGCAAAUGAUAUAUUUUUCAUACACAUUUAACAUUUUUUAAAUGUAUGAUUGAUAUUUUUUAAAUAUAUAUUUGGAUUUAGAUUGCAUAUUUUGAUGUGGUUUGUGAGGUUUGACUUUUCCACAAACCUAUAUGCACUACGUCAUGGAAUAGAUCAAUUUUUAAAUACAUGAUUGCUAUUUUUUUAAAAUAUAUGUUUUGAUGUUUGCUUUUUUCAUAUGCAUUAUCCACAAGAUUUUUCUUCUUAUACUCAUUUAUUUGGUUUUCACCGAUUCUUUAUUUUUGUCAACCCGUGUGUACUUUUUUUCAUACACAUUGUGCAUUUUUAGUAUACAUGUGAAACAUUGUUUUGAUACACAUCAAACAUUUUCCAGUAGAAGGAUGUACAUUUUUUCAAAUACAUGUAUGAACAUUUUUUCGAAUACAUGUUAUACAUUUUUCAAAUACAUGUUGCAGAUUAUUAAUUUUUUUUGUUUUGAGACGAUGCACAAUUUUUUAUUGGUUGAAAACAUUUUUCUCAUGCGCGCUCAAGUCAUGGGCCGUGGGAAGGCCCACGCGACCGACCGGUUCAUAGGCAUUGCAAAUAAUAAGCCGACUAAAAAAAAGGCGUUGCGAAUAAGCUGUCAGCGUUAGAAUCCUCUUCCUCUCACGCCGCCGCGCCGCCAGUCCCGCUGUGUGCCGUCCUCAGCUGCCGCCGCCCACCCCGACAGCCAAACGUCGUGCCGGCCGUACUCCCCGCCGCCCCCUCCACCUCGCCUUCCCUCCGAAGCCCACCCCGCGGCUCGGCGAUCUCCCCAGCGUACAUCAGCCACCCAACGCCGACCAUGGGUUUCGCGCAGCUCGUCAUCGGCCCCGCCGGCAGCGGCAAGGUGAUUGAUUGUCUCCGAUUCCCGCCCGCUCCCUCUUUCGCUCCAUGCUUAACUCAGUCUCCAGCUUUAAUUUGGCCGGGGACGGAUUGAUUCGUCGUUCUGACCAACUAGGGUUCUGCGCUGCUUAUUUUGCCCUCCUGCUUUGUUUUAAUACCAAGUUUGUGAUGUGUUUGAUGUGCUUUGGUCCCUGUUUAGACGUGAUUUCAGACCAAGUAAUGUACUACCUCCGUUCCUAAAUAUAAGUUUUUUUUAGAGAUUUCACUAUGAACUACAUACCGAUUUAUAUAGACAUGCUUUAGAAUGUAGAUCACUCAUUUUGCUCCGUAUGUAGUUCUUAAUAGAAUCUCUAAAAAUACUUAUAUUUAGGAACAGAGGGAGUAGUCAUCUUCUUUUUAAUUAUACCUGUCCAAAGAAUUUGAGAUUGGAGCGGGUUGGGUUGAACGGGAGGUUAGAGUAUGAUUAUGGGGAAGCUGAGAAAUACUCCCUCUGUUCUUAUCAGUUGUUAAUCAUAUGCAGUCGACCUACUGCUCUGGUCUAUAUCAACAUUGCGAGACGGUGGGCAGGAGGAUUCAUAUGGUCAACCUGGAUCCAGCUGCAGAGCACUUCAGCUAUCCUGUAUCUACUGGUAAGAUUACCUGCACGCUCUUGUGCACAUAGGGCUCUUACUCACCCCUGUUUGGUAUUUUUGUAGAUAUUAGAGAGCUCAUAUCACUGGAUGAUGUCAUGGAGGAGCUUGGGAUGGGACCAAAUGGCGGCCUCAUCUAUUGCAUGGAGUAUCCUGUUGUUUGAAACCUGUUAAUUUGUUGUUGAUUGUUGUCUUCCAAGCUGUUUGGUUAUAAAGGGACCCCUUAUUGGCAUAUUGUCUACUAUGUAUUUCUGUUCUGUAUUGGUACUUAUAAGCGGGUUGGAGGUGCAACAUUUCACUGCUGGAGCUGAACUGGUCUUAAUAGCACAUCCCAGCAAUUGUUACUCUAGUAUAUUGAUGCUCACAAAUUUAUUACAUGUUAGUUUGGAAGACCUACUUUCGCGGCAGUUAGAACUGGUGCAUCGUCUAGAUCAUCUUUGUGCGAUGUUUGCGCAUAUACCUUGUUAUGUCUAGAAUUUAACCGCCUUCUGUUUUGUUUUCACCAGCAAAAGUUACAUGUAGAUGCUCCAGGAGCAAAUAGUUUUGCUGUACCUGCAUGUUCUGUUAGCUGGAUAGUAGAUACUAUGAUGCUAAGUUAUAGUUUCAAUUUGCUGCUCCAUUUGUUGAAGUCAUUUGCACGGAUGCUGCCUUUCACACUUCGGAUUGAAUGACAUUGCCAUCAUGUGAAUUUUAUUAGUGAAUCAAGAGCUCUGUUUGUCAUCUACUAGGAUCUGGCUGAACUCAUUUUAUGCAAUUCAAAAGGAUGUGAGUACUCUUUAUUUGCAUAAAAACUACUCCCUCGGUUCACAAAUAUAAGAUGUUUUGGAUAUUUGAUGAGUAUGGACUACAUAUGGAGUAAAAUGAGUGAACAAACACACUAAAACAUGUCUAUAUGCAUCCGAUUCACGAAUAAGCUAGAACAUCUUAUAUUUGUGAACGGGGGGAGUAUCAUUUUAGGAUCUUAUGCUGGCUGUUGUUGUUUCCUUAAGAAACCCUUAGGCACCUUGAAGACAAUUUGGAUGAUUGGUUGGAUGAACAAUUGGAAAACUACCUGGAUGAUGACUAUCUUGUGUUUGAUUGUCCAGGUAAUAUUCUUAAUGCAUGUUUGCAUACUCUAAUUAUAUCUUGUUAGUUAGUUGGACUAUUUCAUGUCACCUACUAUUCUUACCACCUACAUGUGCCUAACAUAAUGAAUUUCCUUUUACUUCUUAUGUUAAAAUUAUGCAUUACUGUGUAAAUGGUGCCAUCUUUACAUCUCUCGUAUGCGGUUCUGUAGCAUGUCCUAUUAUAUGAAAAUCGGAGAUAGCUAGAUUGCUUAACAUUACAUGAAAGCAGUUAACCCAGAUUCCACAUCUUGCUUUGGCAGGCCAGAUUGAACUCUUCACUCAUGUUCCAGUUCUGCGUAAUUUUGUUGAGUAUCUGAAACGGAAAAAUUUCACUGUUUGCGCCGUGUACCUUUUGGAUUCGCAGGUUUGAAUCACUAAUGUAGUUUUCCUUUACGACAACACUGUACUCAAACACCAGACUAAUAUCUGUUUGUUUUUCUUGGUACAGUUUGUCAGUGAUGUCACAAAAUACAUUAGCGGUUGCAUGGCUUCUCUUUCUGCUAUGAUUCAACUUGAGCUUCCUCAUAUCAACAUCCUUUCAAAGAUGGACCUUGUUUCCAAUAAAAAAGAUGUAGAAGAGUAUGUCCUCUUUAAAUUUUUUUCUCCCAUACUUAGCUGUAACAUUUUAAGGUUGCCCUUUUUUUUACUGAUGAUGUUUUGUAUUUUAGCUAUCUGAACCCCGAAGCACAGGUUCUUCUGUCACAGCUUAAUCGGCAGAUGGCACCUCGUUUUCACAAGUUAAACAAGGCUUUAGCUGAACUGGUAUGCCUUCCAUGAACCUGUAAACUAAAUAAAAACUCUCAUGCUUUAUGAAGACAUAUAACUGUUAAUGUAUUGUGGUCAACUAUGUCUCUGUUAUGUCAUAAACCCAUAAUUGCAGGACGUCUAUCUGUUGUUUUAUCCGUUAUGUUUCUGAUGAAAUUGUUUCUUAAGGAAAGCUCUUUAUCCUGUUUUGGUAGGUAAUUUGCUCUAAUAUUGUGUCUCUGCCUCCAAUAUUGAUGUCAGCACCACUAUCAUGUAGGUUGAUGAUUACAACAUGGUGAAUUUCAUACCACUUGAUUUGAGGAAGGAGAGCAGGUAUUCCUGUUUGUUUUCUUGGUUUAAUUGAAAUCUCAGCCCUUGUUUACACGCCUAAGCAUUCCCUCUUUUCUGCUCAAGUUAUCGAAGAGCUCUUUGCCACUUGUAUUUCUAAUCGAUCCUUAGACAUGCUACUUGUACUAGUACGCUUGUGGAUGCAACAUUAACAUCUACUCCCUCCGUUCCUAAAUAUAAGUCUUUCUAGAGGUUCAACUAAUGGACCACAUACGGAUGUAUAUAGACACACUUUAGAGUAUAGAUUCAUUCAUUUUGCUUCGUAUGUAGACAUCUAGUGAAAUAUCUUAAAAGACUUAUAUUUAGGUACAGAGGAAGUAUCUGGAAGACACAUUCCCUCCUUGCCAGAUUCAAAUUUCUGGUGGGGUGGUGGUAUAAUAGCACACUUAACAAUUUGCUCUACUACUUUUGUGCUGUUCCAUUUUUUUGCUGUACCUGUCUGGUCUUUCUGGAAAAUAGUACUAAUAAUUAUGGAAUCAGCACUAUACCGAGCGUGAAAAAUUCCACCUUGAGAUGAUUGUUCAGUUGAAAUUUAUGUGCUAUACUGGUUUAAUUUGUAGUGCUGCAGUGAAACAAAAUGCUGGAGCAACGUUGAAGUGUAGCAUUUCCAUCUGCCACACUUGAUAUUAAAUUUCCAGUUAUUUCCAUGUCAUGUAUGGACCAGUUAGCCUAGAGUCUUGGCAGAUUUAUCUAUCUGGUUGUGUUUUUUAGUAUCCCUGACCAUCCUUGCUUUUGCAGCAUUGAGUAUGUGCUGUCAAACAUCGACAACUGCAUCCAGUACGGGGAAGACGCCGAUGUGAAGGUCAGGGACUUCAUUCCUGAGGAGGAGGAUUAACCAUUUUGAUCAAGCAGAAGCAACAAAUUAACCUGUAUCAUGUAGUGUGGGUCCAUGGGAGGAGAUGGUAGCGCUGAACAGGUAGAAGCGCCAUGUAUCUGUUUCAGUCGUUGGUCGAAAAAACAAGACAGAAUGCAUCUGCAAAGAAUGUGUGGGUCUCCUUAUGCUUGUGUGGUUGGUAACUAGCAACUGCCUUUAAACAAAUCAUCCUCACGGCAUCAUACAUGAGUGGUAAAAUACCUAAAAUAGUGUAUGCGCCAAUGCACCAAUUCUGCUCCUUUUUUUUAUUGAACACAAGGUGAAUUCUGGUCAGCGUAAUGUCAGUUAUAUUUUGGAGGCGCUAGGUUUUGGAAAGUCUGUCAGAUUGUAUAUAGCACUUCAUUGCAAGGUUAUUCCUUAUUUAGACCGUGUUCGGUAAUCCUCCUGCUCCAGAAAUCCGCGGAGCUGGAAAACUGCAGCUCUUGCUUUUUUAACUGCAGCUCCACCAGCUCCUGGAGCAGAGUUGCGAUCAAUGGCUUCCCCCUACACACAUGAAGUCUUAGUCUGCAAAAUGCAAUUUAAAGUUUCAACGGACAGAGGGAAAGCAUACGCUUGAUCUUUGUCUUCACUGCACCUAGCGCACGACAUUACAGUUUACAAGCUGACCGUUGCCCGACCGAAAACCAUGGAGAUUUUUCAACUUCACUAUGUUUCUUUGCUUCCUUUGCCAAAUCUCAAAGAAUAUCUACUAAAUUGACAUGUAUGACUGACUAGUAAAUAUGCAGUAAAAAUGACUUAAAUAGCAUGUUUCUCAGAAGUGCACAUUUUUUUUUAGAAAAAGAAGGACCAUCCCUAGCCUCUCUGCAUAAUUAUGAUGCACACAACCAUAUACUAUUGAACCGCGAUACCGAAGUACAUGAUGAACAAACCACAACCGGUGAAAAUAGAAAUAUAUUCCCAUGCACAUAACAUAUCACUAUUCAAAUCAGUUGUAUUUAUCCCGUGAAGCCAUCUCCCACUUGUUAAGAAAGUACACAUAUCAUCUUACAAGUGAAACCGAAUGCCCAGUAUAAAUUGAAGCAUCUUAUAAGGUUUACAAGCAUAAUUAAGAAGAUACUCCCUCUUGUUUUUAUUCUUUAUAUUAGCUUUGUCUUAAGCCAAACUUUAUAAAGUUUGAUUGGGUUUACAUAAAACAUUAUGAACAUUUGUGUCGUGUCAUGUCUUGCAUAAUUUAACCGGUCAUGCAUCAUAUUAGGGGGUGCAUCAUGUCUUGCAUGUGUUGUGGUGAAUAUGUGUAUUGAUUCUUAUUUCCGGUUUGCUUUGUCUCGAUAGAGUUUCACAAGCGUGUCUGAAUGUGAGGAUCCGUUCGACUACGUCGGUUCGUCUGCUUCACGGAGUCGUUCUUCUUCCAAGCGGGAUCUCAGUCAAGAUGAUCAUUUCCCUAGAUACCAUUGCUAUCAUUUUCAUGCUAGUUGUUUCGUUUCUAUCGUUAUGUCUCGUUGCCUUCCACCUGUUAAAUAUCAGCUCCCAACAUUGUCAUGAAAACCUUCAACCUAAUCACAACCUAGCAAACCACUGAUUGGCUAUGUUACCGCUUGCUUAACCAUGUGUUAGCGUUCCUAGUUGCAGGUGCAGUUGCUUCAAUGUGAUAACAUGGGUUCCUUGUUAUAUCACCAUGUUAAGGCUAUUUAAUUUAAUGCACCUAUAUACUUGGUAAAAUGUGGAAGGCUUUCUAGCCUGGUGUUUUGUUCCACCUUUGCCGCCUUAGUUUCGGAUACCGGUGUUAUGUUCCGUAAAUGAGCGCUCUUAACAUGCUUGGGGUUGUUAUGCCCCCCCCCUAGAUUCUCGUUUUAGGUAAAGCUCGUCUGGCAAGGCCCAACAUUGAUACUAUAUUUGCCCAACAUAAUAAUCCUGAUAAUAUUGAAAAACAUAGGGCGUCAUGAACCCGAGGAGUAAUUCAACAUAAUACAGGGGGGCCAGUGCUGAUGAUGUUGGUCCCAAAUGGACUGCCUGCAGGGCCACCGCGAGGAAACUCGAGGUUUGGUUUUACUCGUAGCUAGUCCCAUCCGGUUGUGUUCUAAGAACGAGAUACGCGGCUCCUAUCGGGUUCGUCGACACGGCGGACGGCUGGAUUUGUUUUACCUUUCUCGAGCGUCUUUUGCGAGGGAUUUCGAGGAUGCUUUGGGUUAUCUCGAGGUUGAGGUUUUCCAAUAGGAACCCGAUGAGAUCACGGGUUUCCCUGAUCGAGGUCAUUCCAUCGCAGCGUGUGGUAGUUUGUGAUGGACUAGUCGGAGCAUCCCUUCAGGGUUAAAUCUUUCGAAAAGUCGUCCCGCGGUUAUGUGGCAACGUGGAAACUUUAUUUAACAUCCGGCUCUAGAUAACUUGAAAUAAACUUAAGUAAAACUUGCCAACUGAGUGUGUAACCGUGACUGUCUAUUUCGUGAGCUCCUUCUCCGAUCAAGGACACGGUGGGGUUAUGUCUGACGUAAGUAGGUGUUUAGGAUCAUUCAUUUGAUCAUCAAUAGUCCACGUCCACUAUGCGUAGACCAUCCCCCUCUUUUAUUCUUGUACUCGUAAGUUAGCCACCAAAUAAAUGUUUAGUCGUUUGCUGCAGUCUCACCACUUAACCAUACCUCACCCAUUAAUCUUUGCUAGUCUUGAUACCUUUGAAAAUGAGAUUGCUGAGUCCCUGUGACUCACAGAUUACUACAACACCACUUGCAGUUACAAGUAAAGAGUUACUUUGACGUGAGCGCGCUGAUUGUGCUAUUUGAAGUUUCUUCUUCUUCAUCAUCGAUCUAGGAUGGGUUCGACGACGACAGCCUGGGAUAGCAAGGAUGGACGUCGUUCUUUUAUCGUUUGUUUUCGUCCAUAGACGAACCCUGCUCUUCUUCAUGAUGAUUGUAUGUAUUGUACUGAUGUGACUCUGAUGUAGCUUGUGACGAGUGUAAGCCAACUCCUUAUACUCAUCUUUUCAGUACAUGUACUUGUAACGAUAUCCAUUAUUGCGAAAAGACGAGAUGCGUUUCUAUCCCUGUCGAGGCCCUCGCGUCAAAAUAAGGAUAUGACCACAUCUUGAACGUUACAAUAACCUUUCUAAGUAUGAGCAUUACUGUUUUAAUUUUUUAUUAUGUAUCAAGCUUAGUCUUCAAUAAAUAUGUGUACCAGAAAAACCUGGUUCUCAAGAUUAUGUAUCAAGUGACCAACUUGUUAAGCUAGGCUCGAUCCUGUUGGAUAAAGCUGACCUCAGGGCCGGCCCUGGGAAUGUGAAGCCGGUGCGGCUACACAGGACCCUCAAAGGGGAAGGCCCCUCCCAUCAGCCAUCUUAAUUAAGAGCCCUAGAAAAGUCAAUCUUAGUUAGAUAGUAAAAAACGUACACACAUCUUUCGUAAGAGCAUCUCCAACAGCCACGCAAAAAGGCACGCGCGCAGGGUAAACGGAUAUUUUAGCACGCGCGUGACAGUUUGGCGCGCUCCAGCGACGGCGGGAAAAACGCGCGCGGGAACUGCUUGCGCGCGCGCGAAAAGGCGGCAGCUCGCGCGCCAUCUUUGCCGCGCCGCUUCCCGCGCGCCUAUAAAACGCAGCGCUCUCCACCGCUCCCUCGCGCGCCGCCGCCGCUCUCUCUUCCUCUACCUCGCGCGCCGCCACCUCCGCCGACGCGCCACUAUGCCGCCGCGCCGUCGUUCUGCGUCGGGCUACCGCGGCGUCCGCGAGCGCCCCAACGGCAGGUUCUACGCCGAGAUACGCUCCGGCGAUCUCCGGCUCAGCCUCGGCACGUACGACACGGCGCACGAGGCCGCCCGCGCGUUCGACGCGGCGGCGUGGCACCUAGGCAGGCCGCGCCGCCAGAUGAACUUCCAGGACGUCCACACGCUCCAGCAGGCGCUGGACGUCGCCCCCCGCCUCGUCUAAACUCCGCACAAGACCGUGCGGAGCACACUGCGCGGCAGCGCCGCCUCCUCGUCGCCCAGGAGGACGAGCGGGUCAUGUCGGAGUGGCACCGGCGCCACCCGGAGGACGUCGCCUACGAGCAGGAUUAUUGGGCAAGGCGCCGCGAGGAGGACACGCGCCGGCGCCGCGAGGAGCGGUUGGACAGGCGUCGGCGGAAGUCAUUGGCGAGUGCGCAUGCCGACAUCGUCGUAUCAGGCGGGAGGUCCUUCUUCACUGAAGAAGAUGACCGUUGGUUGGACAUCUGGCUGUCAACCUUUGACGACACCAACGACGAUGACGAUGGUGGUGAUGAUUGGAGCGACUGGGAUUAAAUAAAAGUUUUAUGUAUUCGAACUAUCUAUCUACUUGCACCGAACUAUCUAUCUAUAUUUUUGAACUAUCUAUCUAGUUGCAAUCUAUGUAAAAUAACUUUGUAUUCUUUUUUAUUUUAUGCAAUCUUUUUAUUUUAUCAAUUUUGCAAUUGAAAAUGUUGUACGCACGCUGCAUUUUUACGCGCUACUGGAGCGGUGCGUGCGCUGCAUUUUAACGCUGCUGCUGGAGCCAGCGCUGCGCGACGCGUCAAACCAUACGAUGAGCGCGCGGUAAACAGAUUUUUAGACGCGGCACGAAACGGGGCUGUUGGAGAUGCUUAAUGUAAGUAAAUAACAACACCCGCGAAGUGCUAGAAAUCAUCAGAGGAGGCCCUUGACGCGACAGCGAGUGGACGUGUUGCUGAGUUGUCAUAUCCAUUAAGCCAGCGCUCAACGAGCGAACACCAACAUAUGCCAUACUUUUUCUUAAACUUAGCAUUCUCACUAAUUAGUUUGUGUUUUUCCGGGCAAAAAAGUGGAUUAGUUUGUGCUUUGUCGUGCACUUUGAAACAUUUAGUGAAAAGCUAUGACGCAUACUUACCCAGUAGUAAUUGUAAUACAUAAAGCAUUAAGCACCUGAUUUCAUGAUGCAUUACAUUUUGAGUACAGUACUAAUUAAAAUAAGAAAAAACAAGUGUUCCUAUACGUGUUACAUACACAAAGGGCCCUCCUUAUCGUCUUGCACUAUGGGCCCUGCCCUGUCAGGACCGGCCCUGGCUGACCUUUGUGCUUGGAAUUUCUUCAGCCGCUGGCCACUUGAGCGGAGCGAUACCGCGUGCUGGUUGCUUUCAGGGGAGCAAGAAAGUCAAGAAGCCCUGGGAAUGAAACGCGCUGAAGAUGUGCCUACCUUGCGUGUCACGUCGCGAGUUCGCACACUAAUUUUUUUGGGGCGAGUUCGCACACUAAGGCCUCGUUUGGUUAAGGGGGAUUGUGGAGGUUUUGACAGAAAAGUCCCCGGUAAGGUCAGAAACCUCACAGAUCCUCGAGCGUCCAUUUGGUAAGACGGGUUUGCUUAGCCCAAUCCCCUCUGUUCCCCUUCAAUCCAUUCCUAUCCAUGUGUUUCAAAACCCUCCUCGGGGACUAGUGAAAGCAAAACCCCAGGGAUUUAAGAGGAUUGGGUGGAACAAAGGGAUUUAUCCAAUCCCCUGAAAUCCCUCCCUCUCAAAACCUCCCCAAUCCCCCUUAACCAAACGAGGCCUAAUUAACCAAUUGUUCGUCACGGCAGCAAGUUGAUCGCGGGAGGAGACUUGACUUGGACUAGCAAGGUCUGUGGGAGAUCCAUCAUGGAGCUAAGAUUAGAUUAGGAACGCUUUUGCUAUGGUUGCACUUUGUUCGUAUGACAUGACCGUCUUCCUUUUCUUCUCUCUUCCCUUGAGAAUCUUUACUACGACGAUUACCCCUCAAUCAGAGUAGAAAUAUAUUUUUCCAUGCAGCACACAUGAUAUAGACUUUUGCACUCAUCAUAUAUAGAGGUUAAGCGUAAAUGUUAUGCAACUUGAAGCAUGCAGAAUCCUCUGGUGGACAAACGGGUUUCUGAUAAACACGAAAUGCUUAGUAUAUAUUGAUUUGACAAGAACGGGGCCUUAAUAUAUACCACGAUAACACAAGCAAGGACGGACGGAUCGGACCAUAAUACUUGCUGACCCAUCCCUCCUUUUUACAGCACCAUACACAAGCACACAAUCAAACCCAAACAAGCAAACAUUAACACAACCUGAAGAGUGAAGACCUGGCUACGACGAUCCACCGGACCAGCUCGAGGAGAUGAAGACGCAGCCGCAACAUAUCAGGAGGUUGGCACUUAAAAACAUUCGCAACCUCCCGAGAUGCCGGCAGCUGAGGCUUCAACACCAACAACCAGCGGCAAGAAGAUCGCGGAGACGGACCCGGCUCAAGACGCAGAAACUAGGGAUGGAGAGAGACCAGUUGCGACCUCAAAUAAGGCAACUGAAUCCGUCCAUCACUGACGAUCACACGACGACGACGGAGAAGUAGUGGUGGUAGUAUUUUGAUCCGGCCUCUGCUGCGUGCACUAAAAUGAGCACAGAGUAGCAGCAGAGGACGGCUGAGAACACAUGGAUCGACCGAGCAGGUGAAGGGGAACGGCGGGUGGUUCACUUGGCGUCGGAGUCGGCGGCGUCGGCGGCGGCCGGGAGACCGCCGGCGCCGGCGCCGCCGUUCUUGUCGGCGCGGACGAGCCCGGCAGCCAGGCUGGCGACCGCGGCGACCACUUCCUUGAUGAUCUUCCCCUUGAUCUGGCCGCGCCUCGGCGUGCUCCCGGUCGUCGGCGCCUUGUUGCCGCCGGAACCGGCAGGCCCUCCCGCCGCGGGCAUCGCCGGUGCUUGAGCCUGGUAGCCCUUGGUGGCCAUUCUUCCGGCGGGAGAGGGGAGAGGUUGGUGGAUUCUUUCGCCGUACGUCGAGGCUGUGUAUGCUCCAGGCCGCGGUCCGAGGGCGGACUAAAUAGGCGGCUGUGUGGUGUGGGCACUCGGCGGUGAGCAGAGGGAAAAGUUCAGGCAUGGGCCCCAAAAGCGUAUAUGGCGGGCUCGGGUUCUACUGUACCGGCCAGGAGCAUGCACGUCUCAGUGGCAGGUGGGGUAGCCCGGUGCCAUGUGGGGACGUGCGAGUGACUCAGCACGGCAGAAAGCCAGAAAGCGUGCAUAUCCAAAUUUUGGACGGCCGGUUGUGGGCCCGCUUUGUACUUUCCAGGUUGGGUGCUGCUGCUAGUGGCAGCUCUCGACGGCUUGGAUGGCAAGUCAUCAGUAUGUUUCUGGAAGAAAUCUGUGGACGUAUCGCGUUCUCGUUCGUGAAGUCGUCACCCACUGAUGUUGGGGGUGAUGCAGGCAAAUCAUGGGAAGAAGCAGAUUGGAUCCGCAUCUUCAUGUGCAGACGUGCUCUCGCUUUCAUGCCACAGUGCUAUAGCUUGAGGUCGUGUUUGUUUCAGAAGUCCCGGGACUUUUUUUAGUCACAACUUAAAAGUCCCUGGUCCCUACCCGUUUGUUUCCAUGGACUAAAUAAAGACUAGAGGUUAUUAAAUGACAUGUAUAAAAACCAUGUUACCUUUAGUAAUGUAGUACUCCAUCCGUUCCAAAAUAUAAGACCUUUUAGAGAUUUCACUAGGAGAAUACAUACGGAACAAAAUGAAUGAAUAUAUACUUUAAAAUAUGUCUAUGUACAUCCGUAUGUAGUUCAUAGUGCAAUAUCUAAAAUGUCUUAUAUUUAGGAACGGAGGGAGUAGUAGUUAUUAAAUGACAUGCUAAAAGUAAGGAGCAUUGUUGAAAAAAGUGCCAAAAAGUCUCAAAAAAAACCCUUCCAUAGGGACUUCUCCAAAUAGUCCCAAAUACCUCCUUUUAGUCCCUAAAAGUCGCUCCUCUUUGUUUCACAUGGGACUUUUUAGGACUUUUUUUUAGUUCCUACACCAAAAAGUCUCUGAAAACAAGCACCCUCUGAGAUGUGGAUGGGGCGGCCGGCCGGUUGGCACCUCCAAAGCAUAAAUGCACAUUCACAUUACACGUUGAUGUUAGUAGCUGCUACUUCGGUGAUAAGCUUCCACGCCCAAGUUCUCAGUCUUCGGGUUUACUGAGAGCAUCUCCAACAGCCACGCUUCGCGCCGCGUUUAAAAAAUGUGUUUGUCGCGCGCCUAAAAAAUGAUUUAGCGCGGGGAUAGGCGCUGGCUCCAACGUCCGCGCUAUAGUACAGCGCGCGCGCCGUUCCAGCAGCGUCCAAAAAUGCAGCGCGCGCAGCACGCACAAACCACAUGUACAUUUCAGAAAAUAGGAGCAAAAAAUGAUCAAACAAACAAAAUAAAUCAACAAUAAAUAGUCAUUACAACUCAAACAAAUAGUUUAUCGUUCAGUACAAUAAAUAAUGCAAUAAACACAACCAAUAGUUCAUGAACAAUACAAUACAAAUAUGUAAUAAACACAACAAAAUCAUGCUCUUUGUCGUCCAUGCCAUGCCCACCACUCUUCAAUCAGAUCCUUCUGAAGAUCAUUGUGCGUUGCGGAACGCCGAAUGGCAUGAUAGGAGGCAACAAAACGGGCUACCCUUUCAGCCCUCCGUCGCACUCGCACGGGAUGUCCCAAGAGCUCAUACUGUGAGUAGUCUAAAUCUUGGCCACGCUCAUUCUCGAUGAUCAUGUUGUGCAUGAUCACACAAGCGUGCAUGAUGUACCAAAGCAUUUUUUGAUCCCAAAAUCUAGCCGGUCCUCUCACAAUAGCAAAUUGGGCUUGCAAAAUCCCAAAUGCUCUCUCCACAUCUUUUCUAGCAGCCGCCUGAGCAUUGUGGAAAUCAAGAUUUUUCUUACCUUCUGGCUUUUUCAACGGCUUCACGAAGGUUUGCCACCUUGGAUAGAUGCCAUCCGCUAGAUAAUAGCCAUAGUUGUACGUACGGCCAUUUGCUACAAACUGCACCGGUGGCAACUCACCAUUUGCAAUCUUAUUCAUCAGUGGUGACCGUUGACAACAUUGAUGUCAUUCAAAGAUCCAGGCAUUCCAAAGAAUGCAAGCCAAAUCCAAGUCUCCUGAUCGGCCACCGCUUCAAGGAUUAUAGUGGAACCCUUUUUUUGCCGUGGAAUUGCCCAUGCCAUGCCUUUGGACAAUUCUUCCAACUCCAAUGCAUGCAAUCUAUUGAUCCAAGCAUGCCAGGAAAGCCGCGAGAUUUGUUCAUCGCCAAUAGCCUUGCGGCGUCUUCAGCAGUGGGAGAUCUCAAAUACUCCUCACCAAACACUUGCACAAUUCCCACUGCAAAGCGCUUGACACACAUGAUGGCUUGGCUCUCAUCCAUAGCCAAGUGAUCAUCAACUAGAUCAGCCGGGAUACCGUAUGCCAACAUACGCAAAGCGGCUGUCACCUUCAGAAAGGUGCUAUGCCCAAGCUCUCCGGCGACAUUCCUCCUUUGCUGGAAAAACCGGUCAUGGCUCGCUAGUUUCUCUGCAAUGCGCUUGAACAAGUCUGUGCUCAUCCUAAAUCGGCGACGAAAAUACGACUCCGGGUAUGUGGGAUUCUCCACGAAAUAGUUCUUCAUCAAUUUGUUAUGGGCAUCAAUCCUAUCUCUCCAAAUUUUCUCCCGACCCAUAACCGAACCAUCGUGCUUCGGUUUUUUAUUGAUAUGCAUAGCUAUGAUCAUUGCAAGAUCCUCCUCCUCUUCCAUAUCAAAUUCUUCUUCGGAAGAAUCAUAUGACGAACUCAUCUACAAUGUUCAGUACUAUACUAUAAAAAAUACAAUUCAAAACAUGCACCAAAUUCAUAAGUUUGGAGCAAUACAUACCUUGUAGGCGUUUUGUCGGACACCUUGCGGGCGCGGCGCGACAGCGAGCGCUCGGGCGCUGUUCCUCGGACGUCGGAGGCGCGCGAGGGCCGGUGGGACUAGGAGGGGUUGGGGCGGAAGCGCGGCGGCGCGGGGAGGCCGGGGAAGCGCCUGAACGGUAGCCGGGGGGCACGGGCGGCGGCCGCAGCGGAGACAGGCUGGGGAAGCGCCUGCGUGGUCGCCGGUGGGCGCGGGCGGGAACGGCGGCGCGGGGAUAGGCCGGGGAGCGCCUGAACGGUCGCCGGGGGCACGAGCGGCGGCGGCGGGGCGGCCAGAAGGGGGUGGCAGUGGGGAGCGAGAGCGCGAGAGUGGAGGAGCGAGCGCGGGAGAGUCGCGCGCGCGGGAGCUGGCGCAACAAAUAAGGGGCGCGUGAUUGCGUUUCGGCCAGCGCGCUGAACUGAAAAUGCCGCGCGCGCCGUUUUUGCGCGCCCGCUGGAGCUGCCCGCCGCGUUGCGCGCGCUAAAACUGCCUUUUUUGCGGCGCGACGCUAGUAUAGCGCGGCUGUUGGAGAUGCUCUGAGUCAAUUUGUAUUAAGAUCAGACUCAUGGCUCCCCGUUGCCAUGUGACAGUUCUGAUCUGGCCUUGUUGUCCAUGGCAAUAUUAGUUAUCGUAAAUGACGGCAGGCUUGCAAGCUUCUGGCAUGAUCGAUGGGUGCAGGGCACCUGUCCUAAGACACACGUGUCGAUCCUGUACAAUAUUUUCAUUCGAAAAAAUCGCUCGGUACUUAGGAAUGCGCUGCACAACGAACGGUGGCUCCACGACCUUGCACACGGGCUAACAUAAUGGAUGGAGGAGAAGUUGUCUCAUCUUGCCUCCCUCCUUGAUCGUGUCCUUCUAGUCGAGGGCACGACUGAUAAGAUUGUUUGGAGAUUCAAUUGGAGCCAAGAAUACUCUGCUAGCUCUGCCUACCUUGUGCAAUUCACAUGAUCGGUGCAACAGAGGCGGUAGACUGUGUGGACUGGCUGGACGUCCGGCAAGAGGAAGGGCGUCUUGUCGCUGCUACACCUAGCCACGUGAGAAUCAUGGGACGAACACAACCGACAAAUAUUUCAGGACAGACGUAUGGACAUGCGCAUUUUCACGCAAUGACUUAGGGAUGAAAUUGCCUUAUGGAACAUGGCAGGUUCUUAGAUUCCUUUUGACCCAGACUACUUAUCAUUGUAUUUGUGUAUUUCUUUGCACUCAUUUGGUGAGAAUUACACACUUUUUGGAGGACCACCUACUAUAUUGGCUUUCUAAAUUUUUCGUCAAUUUUGGCAAUCGAUGCCAAUGGGGGAGAAGUUUAGAGACUUUACUUUAGAUAUGUUUAGAGGGUUUUGCUUUUAUUGUGUAAGCAUUUACAUCUUGCACGCAUGCAUUAUUGCUUUGUAUGUGUGCACUUGGUUGUGCUUAUUUCCUUAUAUAAACUCUCUUAAAGUGGUUAUCAUCAAUUACCAAAAUGGGGCAGAUUGUUAGAGAAUAUCUCUCCAUAUGUGGUUUUGGUAAUUGAUGACAAUUCCUAUGGACUAAUGGUUGCCUUAAGUUAUAUUUAUAGGAUUUGUCCACAUGCACUUCUUGAAGUCCAUCUGUUGGGCUCAAGGAGUUUAUAUGAUGACCAAGGUGAUAUUCAAGGUAUUAUCCANNNNNNNNNNNNNNNNNNNNNNNNNNNNNNNNNNNNNNNNNNNNNNNNNNNNNNNNNNNNNNNNNNNNNNNNNNNNNNNNNNNNNNNNNNNNNNNNNNNNNNNNNNNNNNNNNNNNNNNNNNNNNNNNNNNNNNNNNNNNNNNNNNNNNNNNNNNNNNNNNNNNNNNNNNNNNNNNNNNNNNNNNNNNNNNNNNNNNNNNNNNNNNNNNNNNNNNNNNNNNNNNNNNNNNNNNNNNNNNNNNNNNNNNNNNNNNNNNNNNNNNNNNNNNNNNNNNNNNNNNNNNNNNNNNNNNNNNNNNNNNNNNNNNNNNNNNNNNNNNNNNNNNNNNNNNNNNNNNNNNNNNNNNNNNNNNNNNNNNNNNNNNNNNNNNNNNNNNNNNNNNNNNNNNNNNNNNNNNNNNNNNNNNNNNNNNNNNNNNNNNNNNNNNNNNNNNNNNNNNNNNNNNNNAUCAUCACGAAGAUAUCAUGCUUGAAGCUUGCCAUCCAUUUUGGUGGCAAUGGACUUGUGAAGAUAUGCUGAAGAGCGGCUCACCCAUAGUGUGUAUGGGGAGAAAUCAACUAGUCUUCAUGAAGCCAACGCAAUCAAGAAAGGUGGUCCAUCUUGAGGAAGCUAAGAUCAUCGUCAUCUAGCUCAAGAGGACGAGGUGCAAGGUAUAGGUUUGCCCUUGAUAGGUUUUCUGUUUUAGGAUAGAUUGUCGUACUGUCAUGGGGGGUUCUCAAGUGAGUAGCUUGAUCGUAUCGUCCGUUGAGAGCUCAAACCAUUUGCAUCCUUGCAUCAUACUUCUUGGUUCUUGUUUGGUGUUUCUCUCUUUUAGUUUUAGAGCUUAUCGUCAUCUUCAUUACAAGUUCGAGUUCAUCGAAAACGGAGUCCAUAUGCAUCUUCUAUGAUGUUUUCGAUGUUGGGAGUUUUUACCGGUCUUAUUCGAGGAAGGGUUCUCACCAUUUUCUUAUGGGAUUUUUCUCACUUUCUUCUUAUUGAUAUUUCUCUCAAGAUUGUGUUAGCCCAUGUCUUUAGCUCUCCAACAAACUUGGUUUCAUUGAAUUCGGAGUCCGUAUGCGAAAGUUAAGACAGUUUUGGUGGCGAGCAGUAGUACCGCUUGUGUCGAGCGGUAGGACCGCUCCACCGGACUUUAUUUGCGCAUCCCUUUUGCCUCGGCAUGGCUGGUGAACCUACCGAGCGGUAGUACCGCUCCCAUGAGUGGUAGUACCGCUCCGUUGUACUUUAUUUGUGCAUCCUUUUUGCCUCAGCAUGGCUGGUGAACCUACCGAGCGGUAGUACCACUCCCAUGAGCGGUAGUACCGCUCUGUGCGGCUGUGAAGCAUAACAGUUGGUUUUUUCCCCACCUAUAAAAGGGGGUCUUCUUCCUCAUUGAACCUUAUCUCUUCAGCUCAUGUUCUUCCCCCAUUGUUGACCUUCUUCGAGCUUGCUAACUCUAAAUCCCUCCAAUGGUUCUUGCUAGUUCUUGAGGGAAAAGAGAGAGGAGAUCUAGAUCCGCAUCUCCACCAAUCACUUUCUCCUCUAUGUGAGGGGAACCCCUUGGAUCUUGAUCUUGGAGUUCUUUGUGAGCUCCUUGUGCUUCCUCUCAUAUUUCUCCAUAGCUUUUGUUGUUGUGUGGUGGGGGGAUUUGAGUGUGAGGGACUUGUCCACUUCGUGCGUUCUUGCCAUUGCAUUUGGUGCAUAGGUUUGAGUUCUCCACAAUGAUACAUGGAAGUGAAGUUUGAGAAGUUUAUUACCUUUUGGUACUUAGUACCCUAGAGAUUGUUCUUCGUGGAUGCUUUGGCGUCCUAGAAGCUUGGUGGUGUCUCGGAGUGUAACAUCCCAAAUUUUGGAAUGUUAAUAUAAUUAUUAUAUUGUUUGUUUGUUUGCUUGAGUGAUUGAAACUUGAGUGAAAUUUGAAACUUUUCAAGAACUUUUGAAUGAGAGGGAAUAAAAUGACUUUCCCCUUCUCCGGUAAAUUCAAAUUCAAAAGCAAUGAGAGAAGAUGACAUGACUUCUUCAACUAUAAAUUUUUUUUGAACGGAGUUUGCUUUUGAAUCCUUUCAAAAUAUUUGGCCUUGCUUUUAUAUUUUUUCUUCCUCGAGAAAAUGCCCCGACAAAAUUCUUGCACGCAAGAAAGAGCGGAGGAAAAUGACCCUCCAAAAUGUGAGGCAUUUCUAAAAUAUUUUGAGCCAAGAAGACCCAAGUUUUAUGGAGAAAUUAAUUGCCAAAAAGAAAAUAAAGCCUUAGGAUUUUUUCUGAAAAAAACAUUUUUUUUAAAAGUUUUUAUUUUGGUUUUGGAAACAUGAUAAUCAAUUAGGAAAUAUUUUUCUGAUCGAUUUGGUAUAUAAUACCCCAUAUAAAUCUUUUUAUUUGUUUCCUUUUAUUAUUUUUCCCUUCCUCUUAAAAAAAACAAAUCGGGAGAUUGCGUGGGCGAGAUCCCCAAAUCACUGGGAGAGAAUUCCCAGGGAACCAGAUCGCUGACCAACCACCCCCACGCAGCGCACCCCUUCCUUCUUUAUUUUUUUUUCUUUCUUUCUCUUUCCUUUUUUUUUCUUUCCUUCUUUCUUCUCCUUUCCUUUUCUUCCCCACGUGACUUCUUCCUUCCCCAGCGACCAGCCCCUCCAUGGCGCACCUCCUGCAACCUCCUGGAUCGCUGGGAUCCUUUCCUUCACUUGCCCCCCUUCCUUUCCUCGCCCCCCUCUCCCCCUACAAAAGCCGCCACCUCGAGCCCCCCCUCGACCCCUCGCUCCACGCCGCCUUGUCCACCCACUGCCCUCGUCGGAGAAGCUCUAGUAGAACGCCCCCGCCACCCUACCGCGCCACCGCCCGCCUCCUCGCCCCAACCGAGACCACCAUCGAGCUUGCCCCGUCCACCGCGCUCCAUUUUCGCCCCUAGCCCAAGCUUUCGCCGCUCCUCGCCACUCCCCUCGCCUCGCCGGAGUUCGGCCGGAUAGGAACUCCCCGGGCGCUUCCCCGACCGCCCCGACUCCCCUUCGCUUCGCCGACGACGCCGUUCGACGGAGGAGACUCGCCGCCACCCUCCUCCAUCGCACCCCCACCCCCGCCGGCGACCUCCCCACCUCGCCGGAGCAGCUACCUCGCCGGAGUUCUUCCUGUGUGUCACCCAUGGUGAGAUUCACGAAAUCCCGUAUUGCAGUUUUUUUCUUCAGAAAAUUGUAAUCUUAGAAAAUUCAUAUCUAUUAGUAUAUAACUCCGAAUUAGGUGAUUCUUUUUGACUUGGAUCACAAAUUUUAUGUAGUUUCUGUAGAUAUAUAAUUUGGCUAUAUUUGGAUUUAUCAAAUUUGAAUUAGAUCAGAUUUGAUUUAAAGCUUGUUUUGCUUAUACCGGGAGUUUAAAAUAGCUUUUAAAUUAAUUCUUUUUGCUACUGUUUCCUAUUGAUCAUAUCUUUCAGUAGUUUAAGUUUCAAUUUUUUUAAAUAAUUUUACUUAGGGUUUUAAGCAAAACAGAUUCUGUUUUAGCCUUUUUUGUUUUCUUGCUAUUUCUUUUGUAUUAUUUGUUCUUAAUUUGUUUUUUUGUAAUUGUGACAAGUUAUAUUUUGUUUUCUGAUAUUUACCAGUAACUUUUCAACAACAACAAAAUUUUAUUUUAUUUAUUAUUAUUUGUUUGCAUGGAAUCAAUUCUAGUUCUAUACUAACUUGCGGAUUGAUUGCAUUGCUAGUUUGAUUUCCUAUUUUGAAAAUACUUAUAAAAUAAUAUUGUUUUGUAAAUUUUACUUCUGUUAUCUUAGUUAUUUUAUAUUUUGCUUUCUUUUAUUUUUCUAUUUUAGUGUUUUAUUUCCGGUUAGAACAAAAACUAUAUAGUGUUUGAUGUAGUAGAAGGCUUCCUAGCUUCUUUCAAGUUUCCUUUGGAUUUUUAUCCGCUCUCUAUUAUUGAUUUUUGAUUGCAUCAACUUUCAUUGCUGUUUGUUAAUUGAUUGCAAGAAUGAUUUCUAGUGUGAGUGCUUAUGUGAAUACUAUGUUUGAUUAUAUAGAUUUCAUCGGAGAGUGACGAAUAGUUCUAUCAUGUAUUUCCCGAGAACGAAAAUUCUUCUUCGUCAACAUCACCAGGCAAGUCAUUUGAUCAUGUAUCACCUAUGUUUUAUGCAUCGUAGUUCUACCAACCUAUGCCCAUUUGCAUGCUCACUAGGUACUUGGAAAUUAUGGUUACAUAUUGUAGUAUCAUGUGGUAGGCACCCAACAACCCCGUUACUAGGCCCGGGACGACAAAUUUUAUAUUGCUAUGCUUGAGUAGACGGGAUUCUGGUUGAGAGUUUAUCACGAGUGAUGCGAGGAUACUUUAAUAACCAAGACCAGUUAAGUCAAGACUUUUCAAGACCUCGUGAUGCAAUGCAACUCUGGGUGAAGGACGGUUGAUCGGCUCCCUGGAGAAACCAGUGGAUGACCCGGGAUGCUGGAGACGGCCAUGACAUCUUGCGGAAAGCUUCACCCAGGCUCAAAGAGACGGACGGAUAUUUUCAAGACCCAAGGCUUACCUGCACAGCCACAAGUCAUUAUGGGCUCUAGCUUGGUUGGACAACACGGCGACUCUGGACAGGCGGUGCUAGCAGAUGUAGAAGAACGGUAGGAAUGGAUGGGCACCGACAGGGAUUCAGAGGGACCCGUUGAAAGAGCAUGUUUUGAUCAUCCGGUCUUCAAACACCCUGAAGUGCGAGGACAUACACGGAGGGGAUCAAAUCUUGUGGGAACGUGUGCAAAACUCUGCAGAGUACUCAAACCUAAUCGAUUAGCCGUGUCCACGGUCAUCGACAACUUGAGCCAAAGGAACUGAAGUUAUCUGAAAUUCUCAACACAAAUAAUAAUAUUGAUGAGGGUAUUAUUGACAACAUGGGUACGAGAAUUGGUUGGUGGAACCAUCUCGUUAACAACCAACAAUGUAGUAACAUUUUGCUUUUAUCGCUCUCUUGAUGUAGGAGAAAACUUGCUUUUAGCUAAAAACUUAUAGCCCCACCUGCCAUAUAUGCAUAUAGUAUAGAUGAUUACUUUUCACCCCUCUGUUAUGUGACUUGCCGGCAUAUUCAAUAUGCUGACCUACACGGGUGCAACGUCUUAUGUUGCAGAUAUUUUUCUUCGACGAGUAAGAGUACGAUUCAGGGUUACGGUCCACACUCAACUUGCCGUUGGUGUUUAUUGGGACUCCACUCCGUUGACUGCUUCCGCUGAAAUAUUUAAGGUAUAUAUCAGUUUUACGCUAUUUACAUGUGAUUGCACUUUGAUAUAUACAUUGAUGUACUGUGUGUGCCAGCAUACUGAUCAGGGGAUGGCACAGAAACAUAGAGGCUUGACUCGUUUUGAGUCGGGUCGCUACAGAAAUGGUAUCAGAGCACAUGUUGACUGUAGGACGUGACCCUAGAAACUAGAAUUUCUUAGGAUAGGAUCUCUCAAAAAAUCUUAUUUUCGAGAACACCUUUCACUUCUCAUCUCUUCUGAUUUCAUCAAAUGUUCCCUCUCACCUCAAAUAGUUAUACAAUCCCCUUACCCCUUUGACCUCAUGAAGAAUCAACGGAGUUCUACUUCAAAGUAAAGAGGAUUUCACCAUGCAUUUGAAGAAUUGAAGCUACACCCAUUUAAGACUCUCAAGACCUGAAGAACU